GAUGAACGCUGGCGGCGUGCCUAAUACAUGCAAGUCGAGCGAACAGACGAGGAGCUUGCUCCUCUGACGUUAACGGCGGACGGGUGAGUAACACGUGGAUAACCUACCUAUAAAACUGGGAUAACUUCGGGAAACCGGAGCUAAUACCGGAUAAUAUAUUUAACAGAAUGGUUAAAUAGUGAAAGACGGUUUUGUUGUAAAUUAUAGAUGGAUCCGCGUCGCAUUAGCUAGUUGGUAAGGUAACGGCUUACCAAGGCAACGAUGCGUAGCCGACCUGAGAGGGUGAUCGGCCACACUGGAAGUGAGACACGGUCCAGACUCUUACGGGAGGCAGCAGUAGGGAAUCUUCCGCAAUGGGCGAAAGCCGGACGGAGCAACGCCGCGUGAGUGAUGAAGGUCUUCGGAUCGUAAAACUCUGUUAUUAGGGAAGAACAAAUGUGUAAGUAACUAUGCACGUCUGGACGGUACCUAAUCAGAAAGCCACGGCUAACUACGUG
rnacentral:rRNA from 1 species